AAGCCAGACUCCUACGGGAGGCAGCAGUGGGGGAUAUUGCACAAUGGGGGGAACCCUGAUGCAGCGACGCCGCGUGGGUGAAGGAGUGCUUCGGCAUGUAAAGCCCUAUCGGCAGGGAAGAAGCAAGACGGUACCUGACUAAGAAGCCCCGGCUAACUACGUGCCAGCAGCCGCGGGAAUACGUAGGGGGCGAGCGUUAUCCGGAUUCACUGGGUGUAAAGGGAGCGUAGACGGCCAUGCAAGCCAGGGGCGAAAGCCCGGGGCCCAACCCCGGGACUGCCCUUGGAACUGCAUGGCUGGAGUGCGGGAGGGGCAGGCGGAAUUCCUGGUGUAGCGGUGAAAUGCGUAGAUAUCAGGAGGAACACCGGUGGCGAAGGCGGCCUGCUGGACUGCAACUGACGUUGAGGCCCGAAAGCGUGGGGAGCAAACAGGAUUAGAUACCCGCGUACA
rnacentral:rRNA from 1 species